rnacentral:rRNA from 1 species
AACGAACGCUGGCGGCAUGCCUAACACAUGCAAGUCGAACGAACCCUUCGGGGUUAGUGGCGCACGGGUGCGUAACGCGUGGGAACCUGCCUUUAGGUUCGGAAUAACAGUUAGAAAUGACUGCUAAUACCGGAUGAUGUCUUCGGACCAAAGAUUUAUCACCUUUAGAUGGGCCCGCGUUGGAUUAGCUAGUUGGUGGGGUAAAGGCCUACCAAGGCGACGAUCCAUAGCUGGUCUGAGAGGAUGAUCAGCCACACUGGGACUGAGACACGGCCCAGACUCCUACGGGAGGCAGCAGUGGGGAAUAUUGGACAAUGGGCGAAAGCCUGAUCCAGCAAUGCCGCGUGAGUGAUGAAGGCCUUAGGGUUGUAAAGCUCUUUUACCAGGGAUGAUAAUGACAGUACCUGGAGAAUAAGCUCCGGCUAACUCCGUG